rnacentral:snoRNA from 1 species
AUUUGAUGAUGUGGACAUUGUAUUUGUAACUCCCCAAAUCUUUCCCAAGCUUCAAAGAAUUCUUCUGUAUAUGUUUUUUUCUAAAAGUUUGGAUCUUGUUUCUUAACUC